UACGAAGGGGGCUAGCGUUGCUCGGAAUUACUGGGCGUAAAGGGCGCGUAGGCGGACAGUUUAGUCAGAGGUGAAAGCCCAGGGCUCAACCCUGGAAUUGCCUUUGAUACUGGCUGUCUUGAGUUCGGGAGGAGGUGAGUGGAAUGCCGAGUGUAGAGGUGAAAUUCGUAGAUAUUCGGCGGAACACCAGUGGCGAAGGCGGCUCACUGGACUGGUAUUGACGCUGAGGUGCGAAAGCGUGGGGGAGCAAACAGG
rnacentral:rRNA from 1 species